AUGACCAAGACAAACCAUCCAAAGCUACCCAAAAUACACGGCAACAGCGCUAACCAGCAACACAACCAAGUAACUCCACAGCAACGGCUAAAACCAAAAGCUAACCUCGGCCUUCAGCUAGUUGAUAACCUGAAGGAUCAGAGUGUGCUUCUUUUCCGGUCUUGCAUAACAUCAGUUAUCUGUAUGAUGUGUUCUACAGGAGGUAGCAUAGUUCUACUGGUGUCUAGUGCCAGGACGGGGUUUCCUUCUUUGAUGUGCUCUCAAACUGUUUUUAGUCCUGCAAGGAUACCAGAAGUAACGUACUAA
rnacentral:rRNA from 1 species